GAUGAACGCUGGCGGCGUGCCUAAUACAUGCAAGUCGAGCGGACAGACGAGGAGCUUGCUCCUCUGCGGUUAGCGGCGGACGGGUGAGUAACACGUGGAUAACCUACCUAUAGGACUGGGAUAACUUCGGGAAACCUGAUCUAAUAUCGGAUAAUAUAUUGAACCGCAGGGUUCAAUAGUGAAAGACGGUUUUGCUGUCACUUAUAGAUGUAUCCUCGCCGCAUUAGCUAGUUGGUAAGGUAACGGCUUACCAAGGCAACGAUGCGUAGCCGACCUGAGAGGGUGAUCAGCCACACUGGAACUGAGACACGGUCCAGACUCCUACGGGAGGCAGCAGUAGGGAAUCUUCCGCAAUGGGCGAAAGCCUGACGGAGCAACGCCGCGUGAGUGAUGAAGGUCUUCGGAUCGUAAAACUCUGUUAUUAGGGAAGAACAAAUGUGUAAGUAACUAUGCACGUCUUGACGGUACCUAAUCAGAAAGCCACGGCUAACUACGUG
rnacentral:rRNA from 1 species